UACGUAGGGGGGCAAGCGUUGUCCGGAUUUAUUGGGCGUAAAGAGCGUGUAGGCGGCUAGGUAGGUCCGUUGUGAAAACUCGAGGCUCAACCUCGAGACGCCGAUGGAAACCAUCUGGCUAGAGUCCGGAAGAGGAGAGUGGAAUUCCUGGUGUAGCGGUGAAAUGCGUAGAUAUCUGGAGGAACACCGGUGGCGAAGGCGACGCCUGGACCGGCAUUGACGCUGAGGCGCGAAAGCCAGGGGAGCAAACGGG
rnacentral:rRNA from 1 species